GGUCUUUUGGCUCAAUUCUGAAUAAACAGUGCACAUCCAUGUGGGAGCAAUGAGGAGGAACUGUAGCAUCUGGGUGUUUUUCUUCAACAACAAAUGUAUCUGCCAAUGGGAAGUACUUUCUGAAGAAUUUUGAACUUUGACAUCUUAUAAUAAAUGUCCCACCAUCUCUGAUAAGCAAAUGCUGACGGAAUUCAUUACCACCAGACCAGCCUUACAAGAACUCCUGAAGGGUGCCCUAAACAUGGAAAGAAAAGACCAUUAACAGCUACUACAAAAGCACACUUAAGUACACAAACCAGUGAUACUAUAAAGCAACUACAUAAACAAGUCUGCAAAAUAACCAGCUAUCAUGUUGACUGGAUGUCAAUACUAAGCUUAAAUGUCUUAAUUAAAAGAUGCAUAAUGGCAAGCUGGAUUAAAAAAAAAACAAGACCCAUUGCUAUGCUGUCGUCAAGAGAUCCACCUCACAUGCAAAGACACAUAUAGACUCAAAAUAAAGAGAUGGAGGAAAAUCUACCAAGAGAAUGGAAAACAGAAAAAAGCAAGGGUUGUAAAACCAGUUUCUGACAAAACAGACUUUAAACCAAGAUUUAAAAAAGACAAAGAAGAGCAUCACACAAUUGUAAAGUGGUCAAUUCAACAGGAAGACCAAUCUAUCCUAAAUACAUAUACACCCAACAAAGGAGCACUCAGAUUCAUAAAGCAAGUUCUUAGAGAUUUCAAAGAGACUUAGACUCCUGCACAAUAAUAGUGAGAGACUUUAACACCCCACUGACAGAUCAGCAAGACAGAAAAUUUACAAAGAUAUUCAGGACCUGAACUCAGCUCUGGAUAAAAUGGACCUGAUAAACAUCUACAAAACUCUCCACCCCAAAGCAACAGAAUACACUUCUGAAUUAGUACAGUCUUUUGCUGCACUAAAGAACUACCUGAGACUCAGUAAUUUACAAAGGAAAGAGGUUUAAUUUAUUCACAGUUCUACAGGGCUGGGGGGGCCUCAGAAAACUUACAAUCAUGGCAGAAGGGGAAGCAAACAGAUCAUUCUUCACAUGGUAGUGGGAAGAAGAGUGAAUGAAGUGGGGAAGCUCCUUAUAAAACCAUCAGAUGUUGUGAGAACUCAGUCACAGGCACAAGAACAGCAUGAGGAUAAUCACCCCAUGAUUCAAUUACCUCCCACCAGUUCCCUCCCAUGACACAUGAGGAUUAUGGGAACUAAAAUUCAAGAUGAGAUUUGUGUGGGGACACAGCCAAAGCAUAUCAAUAGCUCAUUGCCACAUGGCACUUAUUCUAAAAUUGGUCACAUAAUCAGAAGUAAAAGACUCCUCAGCAAAUGUAAAAUAACUGAAGUAAUAAUAAACCUUCUCUCAGACCACAGUACAAUCAAAUUAGAACUCAAGACUAAGACAUUUACUCAAAACCAUACAAUUACAUGGAAAUCUAAUCCUGCACAUGAAUGACUUUUGGGUAAAUGAUAAAAUUAAGGCAGAAGUCUCUUUGAAACUACUGAGAACAAAGGUACAACAUACCAGAAUCUCUGGAACAUAGCUAAGGCAAUGUUAAGAGGGAAAUUUACAGCACUAAAGCCCACAUCCAAAAGUGAGAAAGACCUCAAGUUAGCAACAUAAUGUUGCAACUAAACUAACUAGAGAACCAAGAACAAUCAAGGUUAAAAGCUAGCAGAAGAUAAGAAAUACCUCAAAUCAGAGCUGAACUCAGGGAGAUUCAGACAGAAAAACCAUUCAAAAGAUCAAUGACUCCAGGACCUGGUUAUUUGAAAAAAAUUGGUAAAACAGAUAGACUGUUAGAUAGAUGAAUAAAGAAGAAAAGAGAGAAGAUUCAAAUAAACACAAUCAGAAACAACAGUGGGAUACCACCACUGGCCCCACAGAAAUACAAAUAAGAGUCAAGAAUAUUACAGACACCUCUAUGCAAAUCAACUGUAGAAAUGGAUAGAUUCCUGACACAUACACCCUUCCAAAACCAAACCAGGGAAAAAUUUAAUCCCUGAACAGGCCAAUAACAAGUUCUGAAAUUGAGGCAGUAAUAAAGAGCCUACCAAUAAAAAAAGGAUCAGACAGAUUUACAGCUGAAUUCUAGAAGAUGUACAAAGAAGAGCUGGUACUAUUUCUACAGACACUAUUCCAAAAAUUUGAGGAGGAAGGAUUCCUCCCCAACUCAUUCUAUAAGGCCAGUAUCAUCCUGAUAUUAAAACCUGGCAGAGAUACAACAAAAAGAGGAAAUUUCAAGCCAAAACCCUUGAUGAACAUUGACGCAAAAAUCCUCAACAACGUACUGGCAAAUCAAAUCCAGCAGCACAUCAAAAACCUUAUUCAUCACAACCGAGUAGGCUUCAUCCCCAGGAUACAAGAUUAGUUCAACAUCCACAAAUAAUAAAUGUGAUUCAUCAAUAAAUGUAAUUCAUCACAUAAACAGAACUAAAGACAAAAACCAUAUGGUUAUCUCUAUAGGUGCAAAAAAGGCUGUUCAUAAAAUUCAGCAUCGCUUCAUGUUAAAAACUCUCAAUAAACUAGGUAUUGGAGGAACAUAUCUCAAACUAAUAAAAACAAUAUAUAACAAACCCACAGCUAACGUCAUAGUGAAUGUGCAAAAGCUGGAAGCAUUCCCCUUGAAAACCAGCAGAAGACAAGUAUUGGAAGUUCUGGCCAGGGAUAUCAGAACUGGAAAUUUCCUGUCUCUCCUUAAACAGCACUGGAAGCAGAUGGGACGAGAACAGCUGUGACCAACUCACAACUCUAACCCAGCAACCCUCAGCAUACAAGUGGGUGACCGUAAAGUUCUCCAAGACCCCAAAAGAGGCCGAAGGUCUGGUAAUUGCUGAGAGAAGUCCACUAUCCAAGAAGAGAAGAGGAAAGGAAAUUCAAAUCUCUGAACACUGGGGAUGCAAGAAGAGAGUAGCACAGGGGAGAAAGAAGAAGGAGUCCACUGAGUAACACUGCCAUUGGAGAGAAAUCCAUGUGGAUACGUGCUGGGAGUCUAGGAAGUGACGCCUUAGUGAUCAUUUAUAAGAAUGAGGGAUAGGUAAAGUAAGGGAUGCAAAGCCACCUGUAGUCUAUUCUCACCUCACUCCACUGCUUUAUACAAUCUGUGUUUUAUCAUCUGUAACAUUAAGUAAAGACCUGUUUAGGUCUUCUUUGGAAUCCCAUACAUUUGAGUUCAUUAGUCAGAAAAAGGUAAAAUACCACCACCCCAUCCUGGAAUGCCAGGCAUGUAUGCUUUUUUUUUUUAAUUAAAUUGUACUUUAGGUUCUGGGGUACAUGUGCAGAUCAUGCAGAAUCGUUGCAUUGGUUCAUACAUGGCAAUGUGGUUUGCUGCCUCCAUCCCCCUGUGACCUAUUUCUGGCAUUUCUCCCCAUGUUAUCCCUCCCCAAACCCCCACCCCCCCCGCUGUCCUUCCCCUGGCCCCCACAACAGACCCCAGUGUGUGAUGCUCCUCUCCCUGUGUCCAUGUGUUCUCUUUGUUCAAUAUCUGCCUAUGAGUGAGAUCAUGUGGUGUUUGCUUUUCUGUUCUUGUGUCAAUUUGCUGAGAAUGAUGGUUUCCAGAUUCAUCCAUGUCCCUACAAAGAACAAAAACUCAUUUUUUAUGGCUGCAUAGUAUUCCAUGGUGUAUAUGUGCCACAUUUUCAUUUUCCAGUCUAUCAUUGAUGGGCAUUUGGGUUGGUUCCAGGUCUUUGCUAUUGUAAACAGUGCCACAAUGAACAUACGUGUGCAUGCGUCCUUAUAAUAUAAUGAUUUAUAAUCCUUUGUGUAUAUACACAAUAAUGGGAUUGCUAGGUCAAACGAAAUUUCUAUUUCUAGGUUCUUGAGGAAUUGCCACACUGUCUUCCACAAUGAUUGAACUAGUUUACACUCCCAACAGUGUAAAAGUAUUCCUAUUUCUACACAUCCUCUCUAGCAUCUGUUGUCUCCAGAUUUUUUAAUGAUCACCAUUCUAACUGGCGUGAGGUGGUAUCUCAAUGUGGUUUUGAUUUGCAUUUCUCUAAUGACCAGUGAGGAUGAGCAUUUUUUCAUAUGUUUGUUCGCCUCAUAUAUGUCUUCUUUUGAAAAGUGUCUGUUCAUAUCCUUCCACUUUUGGAUGGGUUUGUUUGUUCUCUACUUACAAAUCUGUACUCUUCUGUAAUGAGAGAUUGGGCAGCAAAGGGGGCCCUUGUGGACCUCACCCAGCCAGAGAAGGAGGCAGAAUGUUCCUUUCAUUAUAUUUUCCCCUCCCCAGAGGAGCACUACAUAUCAUUCCCUCCAUGGGCUUAAGAGAAGGUGCCGGGGUUACACAGAUUUAUAGCUGGGUGUAGAGUACAGGGUGAAUUGGGAUGUCCAUGUACAAGACUAGAGACAGGAAAUCAGUUCUAAGAUUUUAAAAAUAAUUAGGAAAAAAGGAGGGUUUGACCCAAAGCUUAGGAGUACGGUAGAGAAAAGAUGAUGCCAUGAUAGCCCAUGUUUCUGGGGCUUUUCCGUAGUUCUCUUCCUCUGUGUACUAUAUUGCCCCAAUUUCCUGUUUAUUCAAAGCCCGUGCUACCCCCACCGUGAAGACUUCCACGAGAAGAUUCAGAUAUUUCUUCUUUUGUGUACACUUUCUACCUUACAAAUAAGUUAAUUUUAAUUCCAGAAGGGUUUUUUUCCCCCAGAGCUCUGUUGGUCUGCUCAGUGGAAUGUAAGUUUCUUAAAUCUAGGGUACAGUGUCUUUGAGAACUGCAAUCACCUACAUCAACAUGACAUAGUUAUUAGGACUAAGAGCAGAGACCACCUGUGUUAACAUAAGUUAGUAUUUUGUUCCAGGAAACAUUUGCCCAAGAAAGAUAAGACCAUAACCAAUAAAUAGUUUCCA